rnacentral:rRNA from 1 species
GGAGGGGUGCAAGCGUUAUUCGGAAUCACUGGGCGUAAAGAGCGCGUAGGCGGUUUCUAAAGUCAGAUGUGGAAAGCCCGGGGCUCAACCCCGGAAGUGCAUUUGAAACUUAGGGACUUGAGUAUGGGAGAGGGAAGUGGAAUUCCUGGUGUAGCGGUGAAAUGCGUAGAUAUCAGGAGGAACACCGGUGGCGAAGGCGACUUCCUGGACCAAUACUGACGCUGAGGCGCGAAGGGCGUGGGGAGCAAACAGGAUUAGAUACCCUGGUAGUCCACGCAGUAAACGUUGAACACUAGGUGUAGCGGGUAUUGACCCCUGCUGUGCCGCAGCUAACGCAUUAAGUGUUCCGCCUGGGGAGUACGGCCGCAAAGGCUA